AGGCAUAAAUGAAGAGGGAGAGCUUGACCCAAAACUCCUGUUUCAGCUUGUACUACAGUCGCACGGCCUGCUAAUCGUCGUCGUCUUUGUGCUGUUGCUGGCCGAGGCCGUGCCGCUCGUCGGAUUGGCUGUUCUGUGGAAGUGCUGCAUGGAGAGGCCAGACGAGAAACAGGCCUAAUCCACCAGGGCGACAGAUUUCGUAGACAAGACUACAUUCGCCUUCUGGAUAUUGGUCGUGUCCCUUAUAUGAUGCUACCCCCCGAAGUCGAGCAGCUCAUGGACAAGCUGAAGAACACCGACGUGUCGGCCCUCCUGGCACUGGUCAAUAUCAAAUGACGUGCUUAUUUCUAGUGCAACAAGC